rnacentral:rRNA from 1 species
GAUGAACGCUGGCGGCGUGCCUAAUACAUGCCAGUCGAGCGAACAGACGAGGAGCUUGCUCCUUUGACGUUAGCGGCGGACGGGUGAGUAACACGUAGGUAACCUACCUAUAAGACUGGGAUAACUUCGGGAAACCGGAGCUAAUACCGGAUAAUAUUUCGAACCGCAUGGUUCGAUAGUGAAAGAUGGCUUUGCUAUCACUUAUAGAUGGACCUGCGCCGUAUUAGCUAGUUGGUAAGGUAACGGCUUACCAAGGCAACGAUACGUAGCCGACCUGAGAGGGUGAUCGGCCACACUGGAACUGAGACACGGUCCAGACUCCUACGGGAGGCAGCGGUAGGGAAUCUUCCGCAAUGGGCGAAAGCCUGACGGAGCAACGCCGCGUGAGUGAUGAAGGUCUUCGGAUCGUAAAACUCUGUUAUUAGGGAAGAACAAACGUGUAAGUAACUGUGCACGUCUUGACGGUACCUAAUCAGAAAGCCACGGCUAACUACGUG